rnacentral:rRNA from 1 species
AUCGAACGCUGGCGGCAUGCUUUACACAUGCAAGUCGAACGGUAGCACAGGGAGCUUUCUCCUGGGUGUCGAGUGUCGAACGGGUGAGUAAUGUAUCGGGACGUGCCUGUUAGUGGGGGAUAACUACUCUAAAGAGUGGCUAAUACCGCAUGUGAUCUUUGGAUGAAAGCGGGGGACCUUCGGGCCUCGUGCUACUGCAGCUGCCGAUAUCUGAUUAGGUUGUUGGUGGGGUAAAGGCAUACCAAGCCUGCGAUCUGUAGCUGGUCUGAGAGGACGACCAGCCACACUGGGACUGAGACACGGGCCAGACUCCUACGGGAGGCAGCAGUGGGGAAUAUUGGACAAUGGGCGCAAGCCUGAUCCAGCAAUGCCGCGUGUAGGACGAAGGCCUUCGGGUUGUAAACUGCUUUUGUACAGAACGAAAAGUGUAUGGCUAAUAUCUAGAGAUAAUGACGGUACUGUAAGAAUAAGCACCGGCUAACUACGUG